GACGAACGCUGGCGGCGUGCUUAACACAUGCAAGUCGAACGGAAAGGCCCUGCUUGCAGGGUGCUCGAGUGGCGAACGGGUGAGUAACACGUGGGUGAUCUGCCCCUUACUUUGGGAUAAGCCUGGGAAACUGGGUCUAAUACUGGAUAGGACCAUGCUGUAGGUGGUGUGGUGGAAAGAUUAGUUUCGGUAAGGGAUGAGCUCGCGGCCUAUCAGCUUGUUGGUGGGGUAAUGGCCUACCAAGGCGUCGACGGGUAGCCGGCCUGAGAGGGUGGACGGCCACAUUGGGACUGAGAUACGGCCCAGACUCCUACGGGAGGCAGCAGUGGGGAAUAUUGCACAAUGGGCGCAAGCCUGAUGAAGCGACGCCGCGUGGGGGAUGACGGCCUUCGGGUUGUAAACUCCUUGCAGCCAUGACGAAGCCCUUGUGGUGACGGUAGUGGUAGAAGAAGCACCGGCUAACUACGUG
rnacentral:rRNA from 1 species